UCCUCAUCAGGCUCAGGCAAAUCUUCAUCAUCAUCUAGCUCAGCUAACAGAGUACUGGCACGACAGCUAUCAAGAAAAUCUAGAAAAUAAAACCAACAACCUUAUUAUCAACAUGACUGACAAAGGAUAGCAAGAUAAAUUUGCAUUCUGGGCUACACAAAACAAAGGAUUUUGCUAUGUAGCCCAGGCUGGCUUCGAACUCAAGGUGAUCCUCCUGCUUCAGCCUCCUGAGUGCUGGGAUUACAGGCAUGCAUCAUCACGCCCAGCUCAUAAUUUUUAAGUCUUUCAUAUCAAUGAGCUUUUUUAUCUUAAAGGACGAUUUCACAUUUAUGAGAGGAGAGAAUUUUUUUUAAGCAAAUGGUAAAACUUUCCCAGGAGAAAAACAUCAUAAAAGCAUCAUCUUAUCAAUAUUUACAUCUAUUUAUUUAAAGUGUAACUCACCAUAUAAGGAAUAUUCUGCUUCCUGCCCUGUGUCACUCUCACUGGAUGUUGACGUGAGGCUGGUAGUUAAAGUAUUACUUAAUGACUGGCCAACUGAUAAAACAGUUGUGGCUGUAGCUGCAUUGCUGCUGCUAGUAACACUGGAUGUCGACAUAGUCACUGUGGAUGUGGUACCAGGUGUGGUCAGAUUAGGGAAACUCUGAGCACCCAUUAGAGGAGAAGCUAAAGAUAAAAA